rnacentral:misc_RNA from 1 species
AGACCCCUGAGGUGAGAGACGUGUCCAGACACGUUCACUUGGCGAGGUGAAAACAGUCCAUCGGAAGCAAGGAACGACCCGUCUCAGCCAUGUGCGGCCAGGAGGAAGUGCCCGGAGCCUGAGAGAAAGAGGGACAUGAUCAUAAGAACGUUUGGCGACUUGUUGGUGGUUGGGCAGGGCUGGCUGAAGUGGCGCGCGUGGGAGGCGGUGAAGCAAAGCACGGCUGUAUCCUGUAUCUCACUAGAAGCGUAAGAACACCGCCACCCAGUGGGGAGAGAACCCAGGAGGCCCUGCCAAGCUUCGCCGUAAGGGAGGAGCUUGCGUCUCUAUGUCCUCCCCUCCCUGCUACACGCUCCUCUGACCCGCGUCCCGUCCUGCCAUGACCCCACCCCACCUCCUCCCAGUCAUCGGGGCAGCCUUGGUACUCAACACAUGACAACUUUCGCCGCGACCCGCUGUCAUCAGACUCAG